AUUCCAGGUAUUGUUGCGGUUAUUACAGUUGUUAUUCCAGGUAUUGUUAUAGUAAUUAUUCCAGAUAUUGUUACAGUUAUUAGUUAUUGUUAUAAUUAUUACAGUUAUUAUUCCAGGUAUUGUUGCAGUUAUUAUUCCAGGUAUUGUUGCAGUUAUUAUUCCAGGUAUUGUUACAGUUAUUACAGUUAUUGUUAUAGUUUUUACAGUUAUUAUUCCAGGUAUUGUUGCGGUUAUUACAGUUAUUGUUGCAGGUAUUGUUACAAUUAUUACAGUUAUUAUUCCAGGUAUUGUUACAGUAAUUCUUCCAGGUAUUGUAACAGUUAUUACAGUUAUUGUUAUACUUUUUACAGUUAUUAUUCCAGGUAUCAUUACAGUUAUUGUUGCAAAUAUUGUUACAGUUAUUACAGUUAUUGUUGCAGAUAUUGUUACAAUUAUUACAGUUAUUAUUCCAGGUAUUGUUACAGUUAUUAGUUAUUGUUGCAGUUAUUACAGUUACCGUUGCAGGUAUUGUUACAGUUAUUACAGUUAUUGUAAUAGUUUUUACAGUUAUCGUUGCAGGUAUUGUUACAGUUAUUACAGUUAUUGUAAUAGUUUUUACAGUUAUCGUUGCAGGUAUUGUUACAGUUAUUACAGUUAUUGUAAUAGUUUUUACAGUUAUCGUUGCAGGUAUUGUUACAGUUAUUACAGU